ensembl:lncRNA
GCCACAUGAGAGCUUCACAUGGCAAGGAAUUAAGGGAGGCGUCUGGCCAGCACCCAACAAGCACCCAAGUCCUCAGUACAAUAAUCUACAAAACAGAAUAUCCUCCCAACAACCAUUUGAGUGAGUUUGGACUUCGGCCCUGUGAUGACCACAGUUCCAGCUGACACCUUGAACGCUGCUUUUGAGAGACCCUGAGUCAGAGGUCCCUGCCACAAUGUAACUGGAUUCCUAGAACACAGAAAUUGUGAGGUGCCCUGGUAUCUCAAGAUUGUAGAAGGAAUAAGGGAGCACACCCGACAGGAACGAUCACCUCUUUGGAAGAAUCGAAAAUCUCACACCAGUGUCUCUCUUCGUCAGAUGACAGCCAAUAUAGAUGACAGCCGUGUGUGAAAGGAUAUCCUGGAACAGGCUUCUUCACAGUGCACAGGAGAUUCAGAAGGUGGU